AAAUACAAAAAGUUAGCCAGGCAUGGUGGCAUGCACCUGUAAUCCCAGCUACUCGGGAGGCUGAGACAGGAGAAUUAAUUGAACUCGAAAGGCGCAAGUUGCAGUUAGCAGAGAUUGCGCAACAGAGCGAGACUAUAUCUCGAAAAAAAAAUCAGACAUGUGAAUGUUUUCUGCAGGGCCCAGGUUUUUGCAUUUCUAACAACUGAAUGGCCUCACCUGGACCUGCCAACCAGUUCUGUGGCCCCCACCCAGGAACUGAUUCAACAUAAAAAAAGCUUCUACUCCCUAUGAUUUCAUCCCCAAGCCAACUAAUCAGCACUCCCAAUUCACUGGCCCCCUACCCACCAAAUUAUCCUUAAAGACUAUGAUCCUCAAGUUUUCGGGUAGACUGAUUUGGGCAAUAAUAAAACUUCAGUCUCCUACAUAGCCGGCUGUGCAUAAAUUACUGUUUCUCCAUUGCAAUUCCUCUGUCUUGAUAAAUUGGCUGUCUAGGCAACAGGCAAGGUGAACUCGUUGGGCUGUUAUACUUCUUCCUCUGUCAGGUGCUCUCUUUUUACCUCCCUCACCACACCAGUUCCUCUAGGGCUUCACUCAAACACACCUUCCUCAAGAAAGCAUUCUUUGGCCCCAGCGUAGGUCAGGUCACCCCAUUUUCCAUAUUCCUACCACUUGAUUAUUUUCCUUUGUACAUUUAUCACAACUGUAAUUAAAUGUGCACUUACUUGUAUAAUAUUUCUACCAAUUAGAAAGAAAGGACAGAGAAGGGGAGAGACUAUGUCUAGCUCACCACUGGAUAGCCAGCAACUAGCACAGUGAUAGCAGCAGGAGACAGACAAAUCCUAGGCAGCCAGAGACAGGUCCCCGGUGAAACCUCACAUUCAAGCCAAAGACAGUUUAAAGCCUAGCUACAAGUCCUGCAUAAAUCCACAGACCAGAUUGAGACCCUCUCUUCCCAUUUGGCACACUUUCCUCUGAUUGAUCCCCACUCUUCACCUAUUUUACAUAUACCUACCCUUCCCUAAUUGGUUAUUUAUACUGUUGUGCUCACCUUUGAGUGGUGCCUUUGUUUUAGCCUCUUUUGUGUACUCACAAACCAAUCAGCACAAAGAUGUGCUGUAAGUGUAAAAUGCACACUAGAUCUUGAAGACAGUACAAAAAAGAAUGUAAGCUACCUCACUUAUUUAUAUGACAUCAAUUUUAUAUAGAUUACAUUGAAAUGAUAAUAUAUUGGCUACAAUUGUCUGAAUAAACUAGAAUUAAAAUUAA